rnacentral:rRNA from 1 species
UUAGAGGAAGUAAAAGUCGUAACAAGGUUUCCGUAGGUGAACCUGCGGAAGGAUCAUUAUUGAAAUAAACCUGAUGAGUUGCUGCUGGUUCUCUAGGGAGCAUGUGCACGCUUGUCAUCUUUAUAUCUCCACCUGUGCACCUUUUGUAGACCUGGAUAUAUCUCUCUGAAUGCUCGCCACUCAGGUUUGAGGAUUGACUUUAUGUCUCUCCUUGCAUUUCCAGGCCUAUGUUUCUUUAUAUACCCCAAUGUAUGUCAUAGAAUGUAAUCAAUGGGCCUUUGUGCCUAUAAACCUAUACAACUUUCAGCAACGGAUCUCUUGGCUCUCGCAUCGAUGAAGAACGCAGCGAAAUGCGAUAAGUAAUGUGAAUUGCAGAAUUCAGUGAAUCAUCGAAUCUUUGAACGCACCUUGCGCUCCUUGGUAUUCCGAGGAGCAUGCCUGUUUGAGUGUCAUUAAUAUAUCAACCUCUUCAGAUUUUAUUUGUUGAGUGUUGGAUUUGGGGGUCUUUUUUGCUGGUCUUCUAAAGAUCAGCUCCCCUGAAAUGCAUUAGCAGAACGAUUUGUGGACCGUUCAUUGGUGUGAUAACUAUCUACGCUAUUGACGUGAAACAGUUCAGCUUCUAACAGUCCAUUGACUUGGACAAAUUUUCAUUAAUGUGACCUCAAAUCAGGUAGGACUACCCGCUGAACUUAAGCAUAUCAAUAA